GAUGAACGCUGGCGGCGUGCCUAAUACAUGCAAGUCGAGCGAACAGACGAGGAGCUUGCUCCUCUGACGUUAGCGGCGGACGGGUGAGUAACACGUGGAUAACCUACCUAUAAGACUGGGAUAACUUCGGGAAACCGGAGCUAAUACCGGAUAAUAUAUUGAACCGCAUGGUUCAAUAGUGAAAGACGGUUUUGCUGUCACUUAUAGGUGGAUCCGCGCCGCAUUAGCUAGUUGGUAAGGUAACGGCUUACCAAGGCAACGAUGCGUAGCCGACCUGAGAGGGUGAUCGGCCACACUGGAACUGAGACACGGUCCAGACUCCUACGAGAGGCAGCAGUAGGGAAUCUUCCGCAAUGGGCGAAAGCCUGACGGAGCAACGCCGCGUGAGUGAUGAAGGUCUUCGGAUCGUAAAACUCUGUUAUUAGGGAAGAACAAAUGUGUAAGUAACUAUGCACGUCUUGACGGUACCUAAUCAGAAAGCCACGGCUAACUACGUG
rnacentral:rRNA from 1 species